rnacentral:lncRNA from 10 species
CAGAGUUCCUGGCUCGGGAACAUUGGGAGGCCUGGGAUACAGUGGCUUAGCCUCAAGCAAAAAGGUGAACAAUAUCUUUAUGGCUUGAAGGUAUACGAAAUAAUGUCACUACAUCGGAGCAGCGCCUCUGCUUGCACACCUAUGGGAGUCUGUAGCUGUGACACAUAGAAGUUGGCCACAUCCAUGUCGGUGGCUCCAAAGUGGGUGGCCACACGCACACCCUCGUGCAAUGUGAAGCUCACCUGAUGACUCACCAUGGCCAGCAGGCCGCGGAGCGGUGGUCCUCGGCCUGCCCAGCGCCUGGGCCGUGGGGGCCUGCGCCCGCGCUUGUCCCGCCGCCUGCGCCUGCAGCACCGUGGAGCGCGGCUGCUCGGUGCGCUGCGACCGCGCGGGCCUCCUGCGGGUGCCGGCCGAGCUCCCGUGCGAGGCGGUCUCCAUCGACCUGGACCGGAACGGCCUGCGCUUCCUGGGCGAGCGAGCCUUCGGCACGCUGC